rnacentral:rRNA from 1 species
GACAGAGGGUGCAAACGUUGUUCGGAAUUACUGGGCGUAAAGCGUGUGUAGGCGGCCACGUAAGUCGGAUGUGAAAGCCCCGGGCUCAACCCGGGAAGUGCACUCGAUACUGCGGUGCUUGAGGACUGGAGAGGAGACUGGAAUUCAUGGUGUAGCAGUGAAAUGCGUAGAGAUCAUGAGGAAGACCAGUGGCGAAGGCGGGUCUCUGGACAGUUCCUGACACUGAGGCACGAAGGCCAGGGGAGCAAACGGG